GAUGAAGACGUAGCGAAAUGCGAUAAGUAAUGUGAAUUGCAGAAUCCAGUGAAUCAUCGAAUCUUUGAACGCACAUUGCGCCCGCCAGCAUUCUGGCGGGCAUGCCUGUUCGAGCGUCAUUUCAACCCUCGACCUCCCCUUGGGGAGGUCGGCGUUGGGGACCGGCAGCACACCGCCGGCCCUGAAAUGGAGUGGCGGCCCGUCUGCGGCGACCUCUGCGUAGUAAUACAGCUCGCACCGGAACCCCGACGCGGCCACGCCGUAAAACACCCAACUUCUGAACGUUGACCUCGAAUCAGGUAGGACUACCCGCUGAACUUAAGCAUAUCAAUAAGCGGAGGA
rnacentral:misc_RNA from 1 species